CCGUUCGCGACGGAGCUGCGUCACCGG
rnacentral:piRNA from 1 species